AGGACGAACGCUGGCGGCGCGCUUAACACAUGCAAGUCGAGCGAGAACCAGGCCUUCGGGCCUGGGGAAAGCGGCGAACGGGUGAGUAACACGUGGGUAACCCACCCUUGGUACCGGGAUAGCCCGAGGAAACUCGGAUUAAUACCGGAUGGCCCAACAGCUUCUCGGAGCGGUUGGAAAAGGUAGCUUCGGCCUCCGACCAAGGACGGGCCCGCGGUGGAUUAGCUUGUUGGUGAGGUAACGGCUCACCAAGGCUUCGAUCCAUAGCUGGUCUGAGAGGACGAUCAGCCACACUGGGACUGAGACACGGCCCAGACUCCUACGGGAGGCAGCAGUGGGGAAUAUUGGACAAUGGGCGAAAGCCUGAUCCAGCAAUGCCGCGUGGGUGAAGAAGGUCUUCGGACUGUAAAGCCCUUUCGACGGGGACGAUGAUGACGGUACCCGUAGAAGAGCCCGGCUAACUUCGUGCCAGCAGCCGC
rnacentral:rRNA from 1 species